CUUAGUGGCGGACGGGUGAGUAACGCGUGGGUAACCUGCCCCAUACCGGGGGAUACCACCUGGAAACAGGUGCUAAUACCGCAUAAGCGCACGGGAGCGCAUGCUCCUGUGUGAAAAACUCCGGUGGUAUGGGAUGGACCCGCGUCUGAUUAGCCAGUUGGCAGGGCAACGGCCUACCAAAGCGACGAUCAGUAGCCGGCCUGAGAGGGUGGACGGCCACAUUGGGACUGAGACACGGCCCAAACUCCUACGGAAGGCAGCAG
rnacentral:rRNA from 1 species